UCAUAUUUUAUUUUUCUUUAUGAUCGCGCGAAGCGCGUAAAAAAUUACUAGUUUCCUACAUAUUCAAAAUGAACCUAAAUAUUAGAUAGAAAUCAAUAGCAUGCAAGUGCAAGCUCAAUUGAUGAAAUCUCACCUAUAUUGUUUUCAUACAAAAUUGAAUGAUAAUGAAAAUCAUCGGUAUAAAGGACACGGGGAGCUGCCUUGGGUAUCUCCGAGGACUUGGGCUAAGGGAUUGUUUACUGAACGUCCCAUAUUUUACCUAUCAUUCGGUGAAGUGCCCCCUUUCAUUUCUUAGGUAAGAGGAAUCUACCUGCAAUGCGUGAAUCAGUACCCUUUUCUUUUGUAUUAAUCAACUAUAUGAAAUAUAGAAAAGAAAGUCUUCAAUCUUCAACUUGCUUGCAACCAGAAGGAAAAAAUAGCAUGUCAAAUUAGUGGUUUAACCCACUGAGUCAUGAAGGUAACCUAAUCCAACAUGAAAAUAAGGCAUCCUAGUUCUUUUAAAGACAUGGUACUAAGCAGCAACAACCUGCUCAUUUAAGCGACUGAAAAAGUAUCAGAUUUGUCUGAGUACAUGUGUCAAUCUCACUCCUCCCCUGUAGACAAAAGGAAGAAUACAUAUCAUCAAGAUUAUAUCAUAAUGUUUUUUGAAGUUUCUCCCAAUAAGACAUCUAGAUCUAGUAAGAAGAGACAUGAUAUUAUAAACUAUCCAAAGAUAGUCUGUGUACUGUCUUAACAAUCUGGAUUCAGUGCGCAAGAUGGUUCAGAACCAAUAUAAAUAAUAGGAGCUAUCCGCAUCUCAUGCAACUUUGCUAUGAGAUUAUCAAAAAAAAAAUUAACUACAAAGAACUACAUCAAUACACAAAAUGUAGCCACCUCUGUAUAUUUUUUAAGACGCAUCGAUUCUAGAGAUAGAGAGCUCUCUUCUUAAGACAUUAGGUACACAAGACUGAAAGAAACAAAGAAAGAUGAAUAAAUUACAAAGAAAGAUUACUUUUUAUCCAGAAUGAUGUCCAAAAUUAUUAAAAUGAUUGUGAUAUCUUAACGAAUCUAGAGUUAUAAAAUAAGAACACAACCCCCUAGAUGUUCUAAACAUGUAUAUGACGCACAUGAUGUUUCUAUUACCAGAAAGGUACUUUAAAAUAUACCAAGUGCAUCUGGCGGGCAUUAAGACAGCUUGAUUCUCUAACAAUAAUUACAAGAGGCUGCAACAACAACAACAACCCAGUAUAAUCUCAUUAGUGGGGUCUGGGGAGGGUAGUGUGUACGCAGACCUUACCCCUACCCUAGGGUAGAGAGGCUGUUUCCAAUAGAAACUCGGCAUCCUUCCGUCAAAAAACUCCCACCUUGCUCUUGGGGUGACUCGAACUCACACCCUCUUGGUUGGAAGUGGAGGGCGCUUACCAUCAGAGCAACCCUGACUCGAACUCACAAGAGGCUGCAAAUUAUGAGCAAAACAAAUUGGCAUUAUUGUCACUAAAGCAGAUAAUCCCAAAUCUGAACCAGCUACAUAAAGACAAUUGCUUUUCAAAAUUGGAACCUUAGCAAUAGAAAUUUUAAAAUGCAAUCUAGACUAAUGAAAGCUUUAGAACAAUUAAUGAUGCAGCAACUAUUGGCUUCAUGUGCAAUGACAUUAUCUUGCCUCACACUCAAUCCGUGGAUGCUAUAGGAGUUCCUUUUAAAUCCUUGUCAAUAAGAAUUCAGUUAACAAAUUAUCUAAACCAAGAUAGUUUUGUGCUCAUCUUAGAGAGAAAUUAUCUAUUUAAACCACAAGUAGGUUACCAAUAGGAAUUCAGUAAACCAAUGGAAACUUAAGCCUCAGCACUAAAAUACCAUUUCUCUUACUCGUUUUCACAUUUUCUGAGAUUUUCCGUAGCAUAAUAUUAACACCAAUAAAAAUGUCAUUAAUUCAUUGAUUAAUUGAACAUGAUACAUAUCUAAAGCCUCAAAGAUUGAUUGCACGACUCUAAUCAACAGAGUCAUUAUAGAUGAUAUUUUCCACAAUUUUCUACUUCUAAUUAGAGAGAAAUUUUAGAGUCUAUCCACCGUUGAAACAAAGUGGAGCUAGUUAAACAUGAUAAAAUACUACAGAUCUUUGACUAAAAUUUCAAAUUGCAUAAUGGAAUUAACUACCAGACCUUCAUUUUUCAUAGAUCCAUAAUUUCAUUAAAAAAGUUCCAAAUUUUAUAAAAUAACACUCUUUCUGUCAAGAAACAAGCCUUUUUUUUCAUUCUUUGAUUUUGAACACUGUUGGCAUAGCUUAUAUCAUAUACAAAUACAUAAAUAGAAAAAGACUGACCUGAAUGUUGAGGAACCUAUUGUACCUGAGCAGAGACCAAAAGACUAGAGAGUGAUUGAAUACUUACGUAAGAUUAAAGACCCCAAAAAGUUAAAAAAUGACAGAAAAACUCAAAUAACUCAUCUGUAGCAAAGCAAAACACGGAUAAGUAGAAUUCACCAUCACUUCAACUUACUGAACAACAAGACUUCAACGCUUGAUUUGUAUGCUUCGGUUAUUCCGUUGCCAAAAGCUCGUAAUAAAGGCCACACAAAUAAAAGCGUGCCUACAAAUACCUCUAGCAACUCUUUUCAGGCGUAGUUUAAAAUAAGUGUAGUCAUAGGCCAAAUUUGUUGUAGUGAAAAUAUUUUCUUUCUUUAACCAAACACUAAAAAAUAUUUUUCGGAAAAAGUUUUUCACCCACCAACCAAACAACGGAAAUUAAGUGAUAAAACUAUUUAUUUUCUAUGAAAACAUUUUCUAGAAAACAUUUUCCAUGAAAAUAUUUUACAGAGUGGUUAUUUCUUUGAGUUUUGUCAAACUCUGUAUUACUAUAUUAUGGCUAAUUUAGGGGACAACAAGUCCAAAAUGACUGAGAAACUGAAAAGAUUCUUCAAUAUAUUUUUCUACAAGAAAUAGGAGAUUCUGUCCGGCCAUCUCUCUCACUGAGUAUUUAAAAAUAUUUCCUUAUUUAGAGUGAGGGUUAGGACAUUUACAAUCUUGAACCAUCAAAAAUUGAUAGUACGAGUGAUCGUCACACUCUGG
rnacentral:lncRNA from 1 species